rnacentral:rRNA from 1 species
UACGGAGGGGGCAAGCGUUAUUCGGAAUCAUUGGGCGUAAAGGGCGCGUAGGCGGCUUCAUAAGUCUUGGGUGAAAGCCCUCGGCUCAACCGAGGAAUUGCCUUGGAUACUGUGAAGCUCGAGGCUGGAAGAGGGCAGUGGAAUUCCCGGUGUAGCGGUGAAAUGCGUAGAUAUCCGGAGGAACACCGGUGGCGAAGGCGGCUUCCUGGACCGACACUGACGCUGAGGCGCGAAAGCUAGGGGAGCAAACGGG